GCUCGCGUAGUGUAGUCUGGUCCAACACGCCUCCCUGUCACGGAGGAGAUCACGGGUUCAAAUCCCGUCGCGAGCG
rnacentral:tRNA from 4 species